GCCGGGGUGGCGGAAUGGUAGACGCGGCGGACUUAAAAUCCGCUAUCUUUACGAUGUGUGGGUUCGAAUCCCUCCUCCGGCACCA
rnacentral:tRNA from 1 species